GACGAACGCUGGCGGCGUGCUUAACACAUGCAAGUCGAACGGAAAGGCCCUGCUUUUGUGGGGUGCUCGAGUGGCGAACGGGUGAGUAACACGUGAGUAACCUGCCCUUGACUUUGGGAUAACUUCAGGAAACUGGGGCUAUUACCGGAUAGAAGCUCCUGCUGCACGGUGGGGGUUGGAAAGUUUCGGCGGUUGGGGCUGGACUCGCGGCUUAUCCGCUUGUUGGUGGGGUAGGGGCUUACCAAGGCUUUGACGGGUAGCCGGCCUGAGAGGGGUACCGGCCACAUUGGGACUGAGAUACGGCGCAGACUCCUACGGGAGGCAGCAGUGGGGAAUAUUGCACAAUGGGCGGAAGCCUGAUGCAGCAACGCCGCGUGCGGGAUAACGGCCUUCGGGUUGUAAACAGCUUUCGCCUGUGACGAAGCGUGAGUGACGGUAAUGGGUAAAGAAGCACCGGCUAACUACGUG
rnacentral:rRNA from 1 species